GCCUCCUAUCUAGGCCUUGCUUCUUUGGAACGCACCAUCGCCCGCCAACACGCUCGCCUCGCGACACUCAAAGACGGAGAUGCCAACACGUCAUUCUACCACCGGCAAUGCUCUUAUCGACGGCAAAAGAACAUGGUGCACAGUCUCGAGGCUGGCGCGGAGAUCAUCACGGACCCGGAGGGCAUGGCCGCGGCUGCAUACGCGCACUUCGACGCUCUGCUUGGCACCGCCGCGCCCCGGGAGUGCACCCUGGACCUCUCCGCUCUCAUCACGCAUGCCAACCUCGACGACCUUGAUGCACCCUUUGACGCCGAGGAGAUAUGGCAGGCCGUCAAGCAAUUGCCCGCGCGCAAAGCGCCCGGUCCCGACGGCUUCACCGCUGACUUCCUGCGCGCCUGUUGGCCCAUCGUCAAGCAGGACCUCGUUGACGUGUUCCAGCAGCUAUACGCGCUCCGGGGACGAGGUUUUAGCUGCCUUAACCAGGCGCUCCUCGCGCUGCUGCCCAAGCGCGCGGAUGCCCGCUGCCUUGGAGAUUACAGGCCCAUAAGCCUUAUCCACCACGUCGCCAAAAUAUUCGCGAAGGUCCUCUCGCUGCGACUCGCGCCUAAGCUUAAUGCACUCGUC
rnacentral:rRNA from 1 species